GUGAGGAAUUUUCCGCAAUGGGCGAAAGCCUGACGGAGCAAUGCCGCGUGAAGGAUGAAGGCCUAUGGGUUGUAAACUUCUUUUCUCAGAAAAGAAUUAUGACGGUAUCUGAGGAAUAAGCAUCGGCUAACUCUGUGCCAGCAGCCGCGGUAAGACAGAGGAUGCAAGCGUUAUCCGGAAUGAUUGGGCGUAAAGCGUCUGUAGGUUGCUUAAAAAGUAUUCUGUCAAAGAUUAGGGCUUAACCCUAGAUAGGCAGAAUAAACUUUUAAGCUAGAGUUUGGUAGAGGCAGAGGGAAUUCCCGGUGGCGCGGUGAAAUGCGUAGAUAUCGGGAGGAACACCAAAGGCGAAGGCACUCUGCUGGGCCAAUACUAACACUGAGAGACGAAAGCGAGGGGAGCAAAUGGGAUUAGAAACCCUUGUAGUCC
rnacentral:rRNA from 1 species